UACGUAGGGCGCAAGCGUUGUCCGGAAUUAUUGGGCGUAAAGAGCUCGUAGGCGGUUUGUCGCGUCUGAUGUGAAAACCUGAGGCUCAACCUCGGGCUUGCAGUGGGUACGGGCAGACUAGAGUGCGGUAGGGGUGACUGGAAUUCCUGGUGUAGCGGUGGAAUGCGCAGAUAUCAGGAGGAACACCGAUGGCGAAGGCAGGUCACUGGGCCGCAACUGACGCUGAGGAGCGAAAGCAUGGGGAGCGAACAGG
rnacentral:rRNA from 1 species